rnacentral:rRNA from 1 species
GAUGAACGCUGGCGGCGUGCCUAAUACAUGCAAGUCGAGCGAACAGAUGAGGAGCUUGCUCCUCUGACGUUAGCGGCGGACGGGUGAGUAACACGUGGAUAACCUACCUAUAAGACUGGGAUAACUUCGGGAAACCGGAGCUAAUACCGGAUAAUAUAUUGAACCGCACGGUUCAAUAGUGAAAGACGGUUUUGCUGUCACUUAUAGAUGGAUCCGCGCCGCAUUAGCUAGUUGGUAAGGUAACGGCUUACCAAGGCAACGAUGCGUAGCCGACCCGAGAGGGUGAUCGGCCACACUGGAACUGAGACACGGUCCAGACUCCUACGGGAGGCAGCAGUAGGGAAUCUUCCGCAAUGGGCGAAAGCCUGACGGAGCAACGCCGCGUGAGUGAUGAAGGUCUUCGGAUCGUAAAACUCUGUUAUUAGGGAAGAACAAAUGUGUAAGUAACUAUGCACGUCUUGACGGUACCUAAUCAGAAAGCCACGGCUAACUACGUG